CCUACGGGGGGCAGCAGUGAGGAAUAUUGGUCAAUGGACGAGAGUCUGAACCAGCCAAGUAGCGUGAAGGAUGACUGCCCUAUGGGUUGUAAACUUCUUUUAUAUGGGAAUAAAAUGUUCCACGUGUGGGAUUUUGUAUGUACCAUAUGAAUAAGGAUCGGCUAACUCCGUGCCAGCAGCCGCGGUAAUACGGAGGAUCCGAGCGUUAUCCGUAUUUAUUGGGUUUAAAGGGAGCGUAGGUGGAUUGUUAAGUCAGUUGUGAAAGUUUGCGGCUCAACCGUAAAAUUGCAGUUGAAACUGGCAGUCUUGAGUACAGUAGAGGUGGGCGGAAUUCGUGGUGUAGCGGUGAAAUGCUUAGAUAUCACGAAGAACUCCGAUUGCGAAGGCAGUUCACUGGACUGCAACUGACACUGAGGCUCGAAAGUGUGGGUAUCAAACAGGAUUAGAUACCCUUGUAGUC
rnacentral:rRNA from 1 species